rnacentral:lncRNA from 1 species
UUGAAUGGGGAAAAUAGAGAAGCAACAACAAAAACAAAGUGAUAACAAACGGAAAAAAAAAACGUUACGAAGGAGAAAGAGAUGUAAAAAAGGACCCACCCAUGAAAGCUUAAGGAUAAAACUUCUCUCCCUACCCAUUCAAUAAAAGGCAUACAUCAAAUUUAAUAUCAUAUUAGUUUAGAUAUAAAUAAAAAUUAAUUUUACUAUCAUAUCAGUUUUUAAUAUAUUAAUUCAUUGGAUUUAUAUAUCACAUUAUACAUGUGUAACUACAGUUAAGUCAAUAACAACCAAUUUUCCAAUCUUUUCGUAGGAGAUACAUUUACAUGAUUAUUUAUGUAAAUUAUUUCAUAAUCAUGUUAUCUAGUUACAAAUUUGGAAAAUUUAAUCCUAGUAGUUGACCCGGCUAAUAACACCAAAUCAGUAAUAAUCAGACCAUUAUUACCACUGACCAUUUUCUUACCGGUUAUGUAUUUUUCUAAUAGAUAAAUACUUUAAUGCAAGUAUAUAAAAUAGGACAAAACUUAGGUUCACAGAACUUUUAAAUUCACCUUAAAGUGAAUCUUUAAAUUCACCAUACCUUUUAGGAUCAAUCAAAGUGAUACAUAGAUUAUUAAUUUUUAAAUAUUAAAUUAAAUAAAAAAUAGCUACAAAAAAUAAAAACGCUAAUUUUAACGACGCUAAUGCUUUCAGCUAAACCUUAAAUCUUAAAUUCUAAACCCUAUACCCUAAAUUCUAAACCCAAA